GAAGGUGUAGGUCAGUGGUAGAAUGCUUGCUUAGCAGGCAAGGUCCUGGGUUCAAUCCCAGCAAUGCCC
rnacentral:tRNA from 1 species